rnacentral:lncRNA from 1 species
GGAAAUAAAAGGAGACAAGAAUUAGUGGAACACUCUACUGUGCUCCUGCUGUUUGGGAAGAUGUACUAUACAGAGUUAAUUCAACAAUAAACAAAGUCCCUGAGGGAUGGCCUAUACGAGUUGACAAGUUGAUUUAAAAAUUAAUUGAGGGAAUUAAACAGAAAUGUAAAUAUUCCAAUAACCAUCGAAUUAUACAUUUUAAAUGGAUGAAUCAUAUAUGUGAAUUAUAUCUCAAUAAAACGAUUAUAAAAAAAGAAUAAACAGGGAAUUUUUUUCUUUUUGAGACAGAGUUUUGCUCUUGUUGCCCAGGCUGGAGUGCAAUGGCAUGAUCUUGGCUCACCGCAACCUCCACCUCUCAGGUUCAAGCAAUUCUUCUGCCUCAGCCUCCCGAGUAGCUGGGAUUACAGGCAUGCGCCUCCAUGCCUGGCUAAUUUUGUAUUUUUAAUAGAGAUGGGGUUUCUCCAUGUUGGCCAGACUGGUCUCAGACUCUCAGGCUUAGGUGAACCUCCCGCCUCGCUCUCCCAAAGUGCUGGGAUUACAGGCGUGAGCCACUGCGCCUGGCCUAACAACAGGGAAAUAUUUUUCAAGUUAAAGCAAAAAAACAAGGUAAGCCAAGUAAAACUAUAUAAAAAUAUAUGAUUUUGGUGUUUACAGUGCAUUGGGUAAAAAAUCUUACUCAGAAACAGUAUGUAAAAUAUUUCGUUUUUAGAAAACCAUACAUUAAAUCAAUGGAGAGUGGCCAAAAAAUUUUAACACUGUUUAUCUCAAGGAGCUACAACUAUGGUAAAUAUUUUCCUUAAUAAUGAAAUGUGGAAACAUUCCUGAGAACAGAAAUAAGACGAAGAUGUCCAUUAUCAUCACUUGUAUUCAAUACUUUCCUGGUAUUCCUAACAAGAGUAAUAAGGCAAAAAAGUUGAAAUAAAAAUACUAAGAUUGGACCUAAGAUACAAAACUAUGUAUGUAUUAUUAACAACUCAAAAGAAUCCAGAGACAAGUUAUUAGAAUUAGUGAGUUUAGCAUGACUGAAUAAAUGGUCAAAAUAGGAAAACCAACUUUAUUUCUGUACACCAGCAAGAGUUAGAAAAUAAAACAUUUUAAAACAAUACCAUUUAUGGUAGCAUAAAAAUUCAAAUGUCUGGGGAAAAAUUUAAUGAAAAGAUGUCCAUGACACUUUAUUAUUUAGAGAAAUGAGAGAAGAGGUAAAUAAACAGAAGUACAUACCAUGUGAACUGAUUAGAUGACCCAGUAUUUUAAAGAUGUCAAUUCUCCCCUGAAUUGACUUAUAAACUCAGUGCAACCCCAGGCGCAGUGCCUCACGCCUGUAAUCCCAGCACUUUGGGAGGCUGAGGCGGGCAGAUCACGAGGUCAGGAGAUCGAGACCAUCCUGGUUAACACGGUGAAACCCCCGUCUCUACUAAAAAAAAAAAAAAUACAAAAAAUAAGCCGGGCGUGAUGGCGGGCGCCUGUAGUCCCAGCUACUCGGGAGGCUGAGGCAGGAGAAUGGCGUGAACCCGGGAGGCGGAGCUUGCAGUGAGCCAAGAUCAGGCCACUGCACUCCAGCCUGGGCGACAGAGCAAGACUCCGUCUCAAAAAAAAAAAGAAAAGGAAAAAGAAGAAAAUCUCAAUGCAAUCCCAACCAAAAUCACAACAGGCUUCAUAUAUAUGUGUGUGUGUGUGUGUGUGUGUGUGUGUGUGUGUGUGAGAGAGAGAGAGAGAGAGAGAGAGAAGUUGCAUGGUUAGGUGGUAAAAGCAGUGUUUGCCAUAAAAAUCAGGUCGUUGGUUAUUUUGGUUAUUUUGGUGGGGAGGGAGAGGUAGUGUUUGGAAGGGGACACGCUGGAAGGUUUUGGGACGCAUGGUAUACCCGUUGUCAAUGUAUGGCCUCGCACCUCCAAAUCCAUCCUUUAAUACCUGCUCUGCGGUCACAGCCAGAAUCCCCUUCCGCGGCUCCCCUCGCGGCGGGGAGGAUGCUGAACAGUAGAGGGCGCUGGAGACACGCUGCGGGAGGCUGGCGCUCGGGUCCGGCUGCGGGCCACAGGCCGCGGAUCGCGUUCUGCCAGCGCCCCACGCCCGCAAGCGCGGCCCCUCCGCCACCUCGCGGCCCGGCCUGACCUGUUAAUCACGUCCCCACGGCUCUUCUAGCGGGGACACCGCCGUCUGCAGGCUCCGUCCCCACCGUGCCCAGACCCCGGGAAGUUUGUCAGUCAGCACCCUGAUGCCAGCCGAUUCUCAAAAAGCCAGGAGGAUCCAAGCAGAUCAUUUGCCAGACGGUACUGCAGCAAUGGAGAUGAACAGAUAAUUCACACAGAAAGAAGGAUGAGUCUCGCUCUGUGGACAGGCUGGAGUGCAGUUGCACGAUCUUGGCUCACUGCAACCUCUGCCUCCCGGGUUCAAGCGAUUCUCCUGCUUCAGCAUCCCGAGUAGUUGGGACUACAGGCGUGCACCACCAUGCCUAGCUAACUUUUGUAUUUUUAGUACAGACGGAAUUUUACUAUGUUGGCCAGGAUGGUCUUGAUCUCUUGACCUCGCGAUCCACCCCUCUCGGUCUCCCAAAGUGCUAGGAUUAUAGGCGUGAGCCACUGCACCCAGCCAACCUCUUUUUUUUUUUUGAGACGAAGUCUCGCUCUGUCGCCCAGGCUGGAAUGCAGUGGUGCAUCUCGGCUCACUGCAAGCUCUGCCUCCCAGGCUUAUGCCAUUCUCCUGCCUCAGCCUCCCAAGUAGCUGGGACUACAGGCGCCAGCCACCACACCCAGCUAAUUUUUUGUAUUUUUAGUAGAGACGUGGUUUCACCGUGUUAGCCAGGAUGGUCUCGAUCUCCUGACCUCGUGAUCUGCCUACCUCGGCCUCCCAAAGUGCUGGGAUUACAGGUGUGAGCC